AUUUGCACAUCGAUUGCAAGAUUACACGAUUCCUUUUAAGCAGAGUAGCAAGAGAGAACGCCUCAACGUUUAACUCAUUGAUAGGUAAUUUCCACUUGUAUCCACUAGAGGGAGACACAGUACAAUGUUCUUCCCAAAAACAAACAGCCAUUUUACUGAGUCGUGCAGGCAGGCUGCCUCCUCAUGACUGUCCUUGAGGAUGGAAAAUGUAAGAGCAAAAACUCAACAUAAAUGAAUGCAAAUUUACUGGGUAAACAUACUGCACUUUGAAACAAACUCCAAAAGACCAAAACAGCGUUCAUGUACAAAAAUAGAUUUAAUUGAAUUGUUCUGUCAAAAAAAAAAAAAGGUAUUUACAAUAGACCUAACAUAACAACAAAAGGGAGGACAUUAAGACAACUUUUUGUAAUCAUAGACAACUAAAUCUCUGUGGAGAUGAAACAGUUCCUGCUGUCUGCUUCCAUUUAAGAAAAUGUCAUUAAAAUGUCUUCUACCUGCCAAAGAGCAUGUCCAC